CCCUUGUAGUAUUUCUAAAAUGAUCUCAUUUCCUAUCUAUUCACUUUCCCUAACAUCUAAGCUCAUGCUUACACCAUUUGUGAAUGGUAAACUCAUCCUUCUUUUCUUGUGGGUUAUUAACCUCCAAGAUGUAUUCUCUAGUGAGUGGUGUAGGCCUCUUUUUUAUUUGCACGAUCUUGUCUACUGUACCACUACUUAACAAGUGGUGGAGCUGGUAUGAAGUGCAGGGUAGCUUCAAUCCACCGCCUCAAAUGUUGAGUUUCUUGUUAACAGGUUCUCCAUGUCCAAUCUAUCCUAAGAUCCUUCACUUUUGCAUAAUCCUUUUUGUUGAC